GAAAAAUAAUGAAAGAAGUAAAAAGUGAAAGAACGAUUGCUAAUUUCCCAUUUGAACGAACCUAACCCUCGGGACUGGCCGAUUUUUUCAAAUCCGGCGAUCCCCCAACCGACGCCGCCGCCGCCGCCCACCACCUCUGCUGCUCGUUAAUUGUAACCUUCACAGCUUCUCUCGUAAUCCCACCGCGAGUCAGCUCCAGAAUCCAGGAAUGGGGUUGUGGACACUUCUAGAAGGCUGUCUGCUUCUUGCAAAUGCUCUGGCCAUACUAAAUGAAGAUCGGUUUCUCGCCCCAAGGGGAUGGAGCUUCCAGGAGUAUUCUGGAAUCAAGAGAAACUCAUUCAAGGGGCAGAUACUCGGUCUUAUUUACGCAACUCAGUACUUAAGAGUGCCUCUUAUACUUCUCAAUUUGCUCUGCAUCAUUGUGAAAAUGGUGUCGGGGUGAUGCUUGCCACCCUUUAUUUUGCUUGAUUGUUUUAAUUGAUAUGUUGAAGGGCAUAACGAUUAUGUGAGGUUCUUUGAAGAAGUUGUUUCUCUGGAGGUUGGGACAAAUAUGUUUGGAACCAGGAUGUUUACUCUUGCUAGUUCUUUGUGGAAUUUGUUCUAGAAUGCAGGUUUUGUCUCAGAUGCAUAGAACUUUCUUGAGCUGCUGUAUUUGGUAUCAAAUUGACUAGUUUGAUAGUUUUUUUUAGCCCUUCUAGUUUGAUAGUUUUGAAAUCAUUUACAAAUAUCUCCUGUCAUAACAUAUUUGUGUUGGGUACAAAAUAGAAUGUUUUGUGCAGUCAUAUAUUUUAGACCCUGUAGUUUUUAUUAUCCACGUUCAUAUUGAGUUCUAUCCAGCCCUCUGGGUGGAGUCCGGAGUUUGUAUCCCAGCAUAAUAUUUGGUCUUUAGAAGAAUUGAUUCCUAGUUUUU